rnacentral:rRNA from 1 species
ACGCUCGACACCUACGGGAGGCAGCAGUGGGGAAUAUUGCACAAUGGAGGAAACUCUGAUGCAGCGACGCCGCGUGAGCGAAGAAGUAUUUCGGUAUGUAAAGCUCUAUCAGCAGGGAAGAAAAAGGACGGUACCUGACUAAGAAGCUCCGGCUAAAUACGUGCUAGCAGCCGCGGUAAUCUGAGCGGGCUGGCAAGGC